AUGAACGCUGGCGGCGUGCCUAAUACAUGCACGUCGAGCGAACAGACGAGAGUGCUUGCACUCUCUGACGUUAGCGGCGGACGGGUGAGUAACACGUGGGUAACCUACCUAUAAGACUGGGAUAACUUCGGGAAACCGGAGCUAAUACCGGAUAAUAUUUAGCUUCGCAUGAAGCAAUAGUGAAAGACGGUUCUGCUGUCACUUAUAGAUGGACCCGCGGUGUAUUAGCUAGUUGGUGAGGUAACGGCUCACCAAGGCAACGAUACAUAGCCGACCUGAGAGGGUGAUCGGCCACACUGGGACUGAGACACGGCCCAGACUCCUACGGGAGGCAGCAGUAGGGAAUCUUCCGCAAUGGACGAAAGUCUGACGGAGCAAUGCCGCGUGAGUGAAGAAGGUUUUCGGAUCGUAAAACUCUGUUGUAAGGGAAGAACAAGUACGUUAGUAACUGAACGUACCUUGACGGUACCUUACCAGAAAGCCACGGCUAACUACGUG
rnacentral:rRNA from 1 species